rnacentral:rRNA from 1 species
GGCUUAGAAGCAGCCAUCCUUGAAAGAGUGCGUAAUAGCUCACUGGUCAAGUGAUCGUGCGCCGACAAUGUAGCGGGGCUCAAGCACACCGCCGAAGCCGCGGACCCAUGACGUUGUUCCCUUCACUGUCCGGCUUGCCCGGGUGGUGGCAGGGGUUGUGGGUGGUAGGGGAGCGUCCUGCACCGGGGGAAGCCUGUGGGUGACUGCUGGUGGACGGUGCGGGAGUGAGAAUGCAGGCAUGAGUAGCGAUACUAGGGUGAGAAGCCCUAGCGCCGAAUGACCAAGGGUUCCAGGGCCAGGCUAGUCCGCCCUGGGUGAGUCGGGACCUAAGGCGAGGCCGACAGGCGUAGUCGAUGGAUGACGGGUUGAUAUUCCCGUACCGGCGAAGCACCGCCCAUGCUGACGCGCGGGUGCUAACCCACGCCCAGCCACCAUGUAGGCCGCGCCUACUCCUUUCGGGGGGUGGUGUGGUUGUGGUGGUGGGGUCUGGGGAUCCUCCGUGCAGGUAGGCAAGCGUGUUAACAGGGGUGACGCACAGUGGUAGCCCGGCGGACCUGAUGGCUUGGUCCGUUCAAGCGCGCAGCCCGUCCUCCAGGUAAAUCCGGGGGACUGUCUUUGAUGACGGGGGUGAGGCGUGAUGGUGACCUCACACUGGUGGGGGAUAACAGGGUGAUCCUGGGGUGCCGAGAAAAGCCUCGACGCGAUGGUGCCAGCCGCCCGUACCCUAAACCGACACAGGUGGUCGGGCAGAGUAUGCCUAGGCGCACGAGUGAAUCAUGGUUAAGGAACUCGGCAAAAUGCCCCCGUAACUUCGGGAGAAGGGGGGCCCGAACCCUGAGGCCCCGUGCGGGCUAGGGGGGUGGGUCGCAGAGACCAGGGGGAAGCGACUGUUUACUAAAAACACAGGUCCGUGCGAAGCCGUAAGGCGAUGUAUACGGACUGACGCCUGCCCGGUGCUGGAAGGUUAAGAGGAACCAUCAACCCCCUUGUGGGGUGAAGUGGUGAAUUUAAGCCCCAGUAAACGGCGGUGGUAACUAUAACCAUCCUAAGGUAGCGAAAUUCCUUGUCGGGUAAGUUCCGACCUGCACGAAUGGCGUAACGACUUCCCCGCUGUCUCAACCAUGAGCUCGGCGAAAUUGCAGUACGAGUAAAGAUGCUCGUUUCGCGCAGAAGGACGGAAAGACCCCGGGACCUUUACUACAGCUUGGUAUUGGCGCCCGCUAUAGCUUGUGCAGGAUAGGUGGGAGACUGUGAAGCCGUUACGCCAGUAGCGGUGGAGUCGUCCUUGAAAUACCACUCUGGUUAUGGCGUGCGCCUGAACCUGGGCCCGUGAUCCGGGUCAGGGACAGUGCCUGGUGGGUAGUUUAACUGGGGCGGUUGCCUCCUAAAGUGUAACGGAGGCGCUCAAAGGUUCCCUCAGCCUGGUCGGUAACCAGGUGUUGAGUGUAAGUGCACAAGGGAGCUUGACUGUGAGACUGACGGGUCGAGCAGGUACGAAAGUAGGAACUAGUGAUCCGGCGAUCCCGUGUGGGUGGGUCGUCGCUCAACGGAUAAAAGGUACCCCGGGGAUAACAGGCUGAUCCUGCCCAAGAGUCCAUAUCGACGGCAUGGUUUGGCACCUCGAUGUCGGCUCGUCGCAUCCUGGGGCUGGAGCAGGUCCCAAGGGUUGGGCUGUUCGCCCAUUAAAGCGGUACGCGAGCUGGGUUUAGAACGUCGUGAGACAGUUCGGUCCCUAUCCUCUGCGCGCGCAGGAGACUUGAGAAGGCCUGUCCCUAGUACGAGAGGACCGGGACGGACGAACCUCUGGUGUGCCAGUUGUCCCGCCCGGGGCACGGCUGGUUGGCUACGUUCGGGACGGGUAACCGCUGAAAGCAUCUAAGCGGGAAACCAUCUUCAAGAUAAGGUCUCCGCAGGACACCUCGGUGUCCUGGUAGGCCCCCAGCAGACUACUGGGUUGAUAGGCCAGAAGUGGAAGACCGGUAACGGUUGGGAGCUGACUGGUACUAAUCGGCCGACACAAACAAC